rnacentral:misc_RNA from 1 species
UCUCUGUCAUCCGUUGUUAAAUCCCCUUUUCGAAAUGAGUAAGGAACCAAUCUCUCACGUUCUAGACGAAUGAGCAUGGGAGAAAACUGAAACUGGUUAAGACUUAAGACAUUUGAUACGUCAAACGUCUUGUCAACCAUAGCGACCCACCUGAUGGCCCGACAAAAUGGCGACGGCGAAUCCCAAAUUAUCUCCUUAAAUUUGUCGAAUUUAUUGGUGCUGAUUUUACUAAAAGGGUUAAUAUUUGCCGCGGCCUCCUUGGUAGGAUAUAAGGGACAUUAUGGGGGUCAUUAUGGAAGAAGCUUGGACCCGGAAAACAAGAGUUUGCUCUCGGACGAAGAAAUUGUUAACUUUUUAAGAUAUUUAGCGGGAAAUGAGCAUUGAGGGAAUCUAGGGUGAUGGUUGUUAUGUUUACUUAUGAUUAAUUUUAAUAAAAAUGUUUCUGUUUU